GGCAAAUUGUUAAUAUCUUUGUUAUAGAUGCCCCAUUAAAGUUGUAAAUGUCUCUCAAGUUUGUUGUGACUUCCAAAAGCACAGAAAUAAGGUAGAAUGAUUGAAACCUAUAUCAAGGGAGUUUCUGAAAUGUUUAUUUGUCUCCUAGUGCUUGUACAAUCUUCAAAAAUAUCAUGUCGCAAAUCAACAUAGAAGAAAUUUGACACUACAUCCCAUUGUGAGGACAAAAGAUUCCAAGGCAUCAAUGCACUGCAUGCAAAUCAGAAAACAAAAUGCUG
rnacentral:misc_RNA from 1 species